rnacentral:lncRNA from 1 species
AAGAUCGGGAGAUCGGGAGGGAGAUCGGGAGGAAGAUCGGGAGGGAGAUCGGGAGGGAGAUCAGGAGGAUCGUGAGGGGGUGGCACCCACCGAGUGUCCGGAGGGGUUGGAGUGUCCGAGUGUCCGAGUGUCCGGGUGUCCGGGUGUCCGGAGGUGUCCGGGUGUCCGGGUGUCCGGAGGUGUCCGACUGUCCGGGUGUCCGGCUGUCCGGCGGUGUCCGGAGGGGAAGUGUCCGGGUGUCCGGGUGUCCGGGUGUCCGGAGGGGUUGGAGUGUCCGGCGGUGUCCGGGAGCUGCGGGAGCCGGGCCGGGACUGAGGGCGGCGGCGCCGAGCACGGGAAGGGCCCCGGGCCCGCCCCGCCCCCGCCAAGGGCGGCUCAAGGAGAGGAGGAGGAGGAGGGGAGAGCGGCCCCGCCCCCACCGCGCCCCAAAAUCGGCACUGGGACCCCAAAAUCGGCACGGGAACCCCAAAAUCGGCACUGGGACCCCAAAAUCGGCACGGGAACCCCAAAAUCGGCACGGGGCACCCCAAAAUCGGCACGGGAACCCCAAAAAUCGGCACGGGAACCCCAAAAAUCGGCACGGGAACUCCAAAAUCUGCCUUGGAACCCCCAAAACUGACCCUGGAACCCCAAAAUCUGACUUGGAACCCCAAAAUCUGCCUUGGAACCCCAAAAUCGGCACGGGAACCCCAAAACUGACCCUGGAACCCCAAAAUCUGCCUUGGGACCCCCAAAAUCGGCACGGGAACCCCAAAAUCGGCACGGGGCACCCCAAAAUUGACCCUGGAACCCCAAAAUCGGCACGGGAACUCCAAAAUCUGCCUUGGAACCCCAAAAUCGGCACGGGAACCCCAAAAUCUGCCUUGGAACACCCAAAACUGACCCUGGAACCCCAAAAUCUGCCUUGGAACCCCCAAAAUUUGCCUUGGAACCCCAAAAUCCGCACGGGGCACCCCAAAAUCUGCCUUGGAACCCCCAAAAUCGGCACGGGAACCCCAAAAUCGGCACGGGAACCCCAAAAUCUGCCUUGGGACCCCAAAAUCUGCCUUGGAACCCCAAAAAUCUGCCUUGGAACCCCAAAAUCGGCACGGGAUCCCCAAAACUGACCCUGGAACCCCAAAAUCCGCACGGGGCACCCCAAAAUCUGCCUUGGAAUUCCCAAAACUGACCCUGGAACCCCCAAAUCUGCCUUGGAACCCCCAAAAUCUGCCUUGGAACCCCCAAAACUGACCCUGGAACCCCAAAAUCGGCACGGGAACCCCAAAAUCGGCACGGGGCACCCCAAAAUCUGCCUUGGAACCCCCAAAAUCGGCACGGGAACCCCAAAACUGACCCUGGAACCCCAAAAUCAGCACGGGAACCCCAAAAUCGGCACGGGAACCCCAAAACUGACCCUGGAACUCCCAAAAUCGGCACAGGAACCCCAAAAUCUGCCUUGGGACCCCAAAAUCUGCCUUGGGACCCCAAAAUCCGCACGGGAACCCCAAAAUCUGCCUUGGGACCCCAAAAUCUGCCUUGGGACCCCAAAAUCCGCACGGGGCACCCCAAAAUCUGCCUUGGAACCCAAAAAUCUGCCUUGGAACCCCAAAAUCCGCACGGGGCACCCCAAAACUGACCCUGGAACCCCCAAAAUCGGCACAGGAACCCCAAAAUCUGCCUUGGAAUUCCCAAAAUCGGCACGGGAACCCCAAAAUCCGAACUGGGCACUCCAAAAUCGGCACGGGGCACCCCAAAAUCUGCCUUGGAAUCCCCAAAAUCCGCACGGGGCACCUCAAAACUGACCCUGGAACCCCCAAAAUCCGCACGGGGUACCCCAAAAUCUGCCUUGGAACCCCCAAAAUCUGCACUCUGUACCCCAAAAUCCACACAGAGCACCCCAAAAUCCCUAAAAUCCGCCUUUGGAACCCCCAAAAUCGGCACUUUGCACCCCAAAAUCCGCCCCUGGAACCCCCAAAAUCAGCAUUUUGCACCCCAAAAUCCCUAAAAUCCGCACUGGGCACCCAAAAUCUGCAUUUUGCACCCCAAAAAUCUGCCCUGGAACCCCCAAAAUCCACUCUGCACCCCAAAUCCGCCUUUUUCACCGCAAAAAUCGACUUUUUGCACCCC